rnacentral:rRNA from 1 species
AGACCCGAAACCCGGUGAUCUAGCCAUGGGCAGGUUGAAGGUUGGGUAACACUAACUGGAGGACCGAACCGACUAAUGUUGAAAAAUUAGCGGAUGACCUGUGGCUGGGGGUGAAAGGCCAAUCAAACCGGGAGAUAGCUGGUUCUCCCCGAAAGCUAUUUAGGUAGCGCCUCGUGAAUUCAUCUCCGGGGGUAGAGCACUGUUUCGGCUAGGGGGCCAUCCCGGCUUACCAACCCGAUGCAAACUGCGAAUACCGGAGAAUGUUAUCACGGGAGACACACGGCGGGUGCUAACGUCCGUCGUGAAGAGGGAAACAACCCAGACCGCCAGCUAAGGUCCCAAAGUCAUGGUUAAGUGGGAAACGAUGUGGGAAGGCCCAGACAGCCAGGAUGUUGGCUUAGAAGCAGCCAUCAUUUAAAGAAAGCGUAAUAGCUCACUGGUCGAGUCGGCCUGCGCGGAAGAUGUAACGGGGCUAAACCAUGCACCGAAGCUGCGGCAGCGACACUCAGGUGUUGUUGGGUAGGGGAGCGUUCUGUAAGCCUGUGAAGGUGGCCUGUGAGGGUUGCUGGAGGUAUCAGAAGUGCGAAUGCUGACAUAAGUAACGAUAAAGCGGGUGAAAAGCCCGCUCGCCGGAAGACCAAGGGUUCCUGUCCAACGUUAAUCGGGGCAGGGUGAGUCGACCCCUAAGGCGAGGCCGAAAGGCGUAGUCGAUGGGAAACGGGUUAAUAUUCCCGUACUUGGUGUUACUGCGAAGGGGGGACGGAGAAGGCUAUGUUGGCCGGG